CACAUAAGGGCGAGCGGCGGCAGGCAUAGCCAAUGGGAGCUAGCGCUGCAGCCCCAGGGGCGGGCGCUGGACAGGAUCUGGACCAAUGGGGACUGGCCGAACGCCUCGGGCCGGGCCGAGAAUGUUGACAGAUGCGAAGCUCGGUUCCGAUAGGCCGACAGCUGUAGUAACAAUUUAGAAGCCCAAGCUUAGCAACAGCACGUGGUGGCCCGGCCCCCGCGCUUGCUGACUGGUGGCCGUCAUGCAUGUUAAGUAGGUGCUGCGCGCCGAUUGGGCCAGGGCGGUUUAUGUAAAUUGGGACCACCGACCAAUGACCCGCGGCCGGGCGCGCGGCCAAUAAGGGCGCCGCGGCCCGACGCGUUGCUGAGAGGAAGCGGAGCGCGCUGGGACCGCCGCCUGGCGCUCCACCCGGCCAGUAGGACGCGGGCAGCGCCUCCUGAGACCCGAAGCAUGAUGCACUGCGGGACAAGCGCCCUGCCACCCCGCCGGGCCCAUGCACAGUGUGUGCAGGGACUUGUUGCCCAGGUCCAGAUCCAGCACUGGCUCUGCGGGAGGACCAUGCCUAGCCGUCUGUCUGCUCCGGGGUCCCUUGUGGGGCUGCAAACGACACCCUUCUCCGCGGGACAGAGUGGCCUCAGGGAAGGCCUGGACUGGGAGAGGAACGCAGACGGUUGGAGCAUAAAACGAAGGCUUCUCUGAGGUUGUCAGUGGGGAAACAGAGAGCGGAAGUGUCGUUGUCGUUUAUUUAGUGGACACCAGGCUGAAAGUGGGGACCCGGCUAGGGAAGAGGACUGCCGCCACAGGCAGGAGGGGCUCUCAAGAGGACAGGCUGCUUGUGGUGCCUGAUUUGAAGAGUAAGUUCGUUACAAGAGGCUGGCGCUGGUCCUUAGGCCAAGGCUGCCUUUUCUGGGGAGGAGCGGUUCGCUACUAGGAAGCAAGCGCCUGGCUGGGCCGUUGCGGCCGGCCGCAGUCAUGACCUUGGACUGUAAGGCAGGCUGGGUAGGAGGAAGAAGAGCUGGUGGUCCUAGGGCAGCCUCAGCCUGGCCUCAACCCCUUGAUCUUCAGAUCUUCACUCUCACUGGCUUUCAAGGUUCGUGGCCUGGGAGCUGCCGAGGGCGGGGCCAAUCAGCUGGAAAGUUUUGUGUCAUAAAGUGACUGGACACCCCCCCACCCCAAGUUCCAUAUGGAAGUGGGGCUCUGCUGCCAAUAAAACAGAACAAAAACUGUUAAAACCUCAGCACUCUAGGUCCUGGGAGCAACAUAAACGCAUUGCCUGUGUAUAUUUUCACAUACCCAAUUUACAAAUAAGGAACCCCUCAGCAAUCCCAGCAGAAUGGAGAUUGGCACUCCCACAUUGUGACCCAUGGCUGGCUAUGUAGGAGUGUGGCGACCAGAGCCACCUCUGGUCCAGCUGCUUCUGCUGGGGUGUGAGUGACAGCUGUCUGAUCUGUGGAAUAGGGUUAAGAAUGUGUGCCCUUAGGGCCCUGCAGGAUCUAAUGGGGAACUUGAUACUUCCUGCCAACACUUAAAAAAAAAAAAAUCGUUGACCUGGGCUCUUCCUGCUCCAGCCCACAACCACCCCAGAGCCAGAGUACAGACUUUAGCCUUUAGUCUUUAGGGCUGCCGCGAGCCAUGAAGGAUGAAAGAGAGUGCCCAACUUUGGGAAGCAGUGAGGCGCAUUCUGCACUCUGGGAACCUGGACUCAUCACCUGGGGGUCAGCAUUUUACAAGGUUGCUCCAUCCCUGCAUUGGCAGCCCGUGCGUGCGUUAAAGUGACCUCGCCCGGCUCCUGCUGCGAUGGGCAGGGGGUUAGGCCACUGUGGUACUCAGGAUGCUCAGGCGUGACAGCAGGGAGCAGCCUGCCUGCUUCCUCUCUGCCUGAGAUUUUUAGCCUAGGCCAAUUCUGGAAUCUCCCCUCAUCCAGCUGCAUCCAAGGACCUAGCACUUCCGGUGCCCACGGAGCUCGACCUCACCCUGGAUUGCGCGGGAGCUGGAGAAAGUGGGCAGGCGUGGGCAGGCGUGGCUGAGUGCCUUCCCCAGGAGUAGCAUCUGGAAAACAAGCCAGUGCUUCUGGAUGUCUCGCUUCUGCCUUCUGUGGGACCCUCCAAGAAACCUACAACCCAGCUCUGCUGCUCAUUGACCUGCGAUCUUCAGCUUCCUCAUCUAUGGCAUGGAGAUCUUGCUCCCUCAAGGGAAUCUUAUGGGAUUGCCACAGACAUGUAUAAAAUGGGGAAUGGCAUUGUUCAAGGCAGUAGCAGGAAGGGCAUGAUUAGGAAAUGGGUUUGGGAAGGCCAGCCUGCAGGAGGUCCCAAGGCUGGCUCAAAAGUGCUGACUACAAACCCAGAGCUCUGGGUAUGCUCCCAGCCCAGGGCCUCCCAGACCCAAGGCCUAGCUGUGGGUGGCCAGGAAGCCAUCCCUCCACAUUCUGUCUGAAUUGCACCUGUCUUGGUCCUGGGUUCUGCCCUUGGGUGGGGACAGCCCCAUAGAAAGGUAGUGAUCAAGCAUCUCAAGUUUAGCAUGGAAAAGUCCUAGAAACUCUGCUCCUGGGCAAAUGGGACUGUUGGUCAUCUCCCUGAAGGACACCUGUGACUCUAGGCCUUUCUGCAGGGCAUCCUGUCUCCAGGCAGCACACAGGCAGGCCAAGGCUGGCCUGGAGGGCUUCCUAUGAACAGACCACACCCAGCCUUCCUGCCUGCCUCCCUGCGUCCAGGUUCUUCUGACCUGGUGGACAAGGAAGACACCACAACUCAGGUCUGGAAGGUGACCACUGAGGGUGCCUGUAAGCACAGAGGGAUGCUGCAGUACGUCUCUGUGGGAUUCUGUAGGGCCUGGUUUCCUAGCCUGUAGCAGCAGGGGUGGCCUCCUCCAGAGAGGUGACAAUUCUCCUGUGGACAUGCUAACCAUCAGAGUGUAGGGGUGAUAGAGGGGCCAUUUCUCUGCAUUCUGUCCAGGUAAGCAGGACGGUGGGUUCAGGUCUUGGAUGGCCAGAGAUGCUGAGGUCCCCCAAGCUGCCCCUUCUGCUCCUGAAGGGCUUGCCCUGCUCAGAGGGAGCCCCAUGUUCUAAAACUUCCUGACUUACGGAGAGUGGAUAUGGUGGCCGUUGUGGCCUCUCACAACUCUGCCCAAGUUCCAAGGGCACAAAGGACAGAGGAAGCCACAUCACUGGAGUAAUCCAAGGCUGUGCUGGCACUCCUACAGUCUCUUCAUGGCACCCCAAAAGCAGUCCCCAGACUAUGAGGUAGUGAGGCUGGAGACCAAGGCCAUAAGAUCAGCCCCUAGUAUAGGGGCCAAGAGCACUAGCCCUGCCCCCAAGCACAGGCCAGGGGUCUCAGCCAAAGAUUCACAUAAGAAGGGGAGCUGCAGGAUGCGCAGCAGUGGAAAAGGACACUCUCACAGGGCAGGGGACAGGCUUCCAGAGAGUGAGCAGCGACCCCUUUCCUGGAGGCUGAUGGGACGCCAGGUCCUUCAAUCGUCCCAAAGUGCAGAAGCCCUGGCUUCCUAUAGGAGAAUCCAUGACAGCACAAAUACCACCCCUGCCCAGACAGAGGAAAAGGAGUUGGUGCUCACAGAAGACAGGACAGCGUCUGCAAUCUUUAAAUAGAUUUAUGGAAAUGGUUUCAAGUUACAGCUGUUAGAAAAUAAAAAUAAUCUCAAUACAUAAUAUUCCCUCCAAUAUAUAUUCUCCCCUACAGAAGCCAUCUCUGUGCAAGAGUAUUCCACUGCUCAACAGUAAUUGGACUUCAUCCUAUAAAAGAAGCAGUAGGUGUGUCAUCUCUCCAAAAAUAAAACUGCAAUCGUCAUUGCAAUGUGAAGCCUGAGAUUGAAGCCUGAGGAGGUGUCUGCACUGGGGCCACUUGGAUGUCUCAGCAUGGGUCCCAGCUGCUCUAGAAUCUGUGGAAGUGGACCAGGGUCCCAGAGGGUGCAGAGGAAAGGGGGCACUGUUGGCCAAGUGGGCAGCCCUUGGUGGUGUUGGGCUGCCUGGUGAGCCAAGGUCCCCAAACCAAACCAACCUCUGUCUGUGGGUGUCAGUGCCUGGCCAGCCCCCACUCCACUGGCAGUGGACAAUAUGCAGGUUCAGGGCACGUAUUCCUCCUGCAUUCCCCCUCCAAGAAGAAAUGAGAUGCGUGUUGUUUAUAGCAGGGUCCUGAGACGGGCAGUGGGUGCUGGGGAUGAGGUGGGCGCAAGGAGCCCUGACAGGGUGCUGGGGCCCGUGGAGCCCCUUAGUUCCUGCUUCCAGAGUCUCUGCUGCAGACAAGGCCUCACAGUGCCCACUCUCCUGCCUGGUAGGUCCGGCUGGAGGAGGAGCUCCAGUGGAGGCCAGCAGGCACCUGCUUCAGAGGCAGCCCCUAGGUCCCUGGAUCCCCUUGGUGGGUAAAGCUGACCUCCUAUCACGUUCUGCACCUGGCCUGGGGUCCCUGCAGGUAAGGAGGCCAGGGUGGGUGGGACAGAGGCUCUGGACAUUCUGGAAACCUGGGCGGGUCUGCAGCAGCAGCAGCAGUGUCUUAAUGAGAUGCAGGAGACCUCCUGCAGCACAGCCUGGACAGACCAGGGCCAGGCUCAUCGCCUCCUUCCUGGAAGUCCUGGCCCUGGGUGUGUUGGUGAGUGCCUGGGUGCUGCAUCACAUGCCUGCUUUGUCGCUGUAGAAGGGUGUGACGUGGAACAUGUAGCAGUGUGUGCACACACGGACAGGCUUCACCUGCCCAUAGCGGGGCAGCGGUGCCGAGUGCGAAGAGCAGCGGGAACAAAAGAUCUGGAAGUCAAGGAGGGGUAGGAACCAGUGAACCUGCUGCAGGGUGCUGGGCAGGGCCAGCCCCCAUGCCCCCACACAGCCCUCCCACCCAAACCAGGCAGGGCAAUGGAAGGGGAGUCUGCCUGGUCCUGGUCCUGGUCCUGGUCCUGUGGCCCGUGGAGCUAGGACCUUCAGAAAAACCCUGGGCAGGGCUUUGCCUAGGAGGCCCACUUCCUGAGAGGUGUCUAGGUGCUACACAAGGCCACAGCAGGUUCCUGCUUGGUUACUCUGUCCCCUCCCUGUCCCUGGCUCUGAGUGGCCAAGGCUGGACAUGGGCACUGGUGUCAGAGCAGGGCUCAGGACUCAGGGGCAUCUGCACAAGGACCCCAGAGCCUAGGAACACCAGUCCUGACUUGCAGCCCCUGACACUGUGCCUGGGAUGGCUCAGAUGCUGCAGGCCAGCGUGGCCACCCACCUUCCCGCAGCUGCGGCAGUGGUGUUUCCUGCGGAUGACAGUGAAGGGCGCUUUGCACGCGGUGCAGAAGCCGCAGGCCUCGUCCGGCACCCAUUCAGGGGGGUCUGUUACAACGAGAGCCAGGGACACGUCAGCCCUGGCAUGCAGGUGGGCUGGGGCUGGAGUGGAAGCCUGGCAGGUGGGCAGGCACCUCCAACCCCUCUCCUCACUGGUUACCCCUAGACUCAGUGACAGGCUAUGAUUUCACAUGGGGGUCCCUCUUCACUGCCAUUGACAGAGCUGGCAAUCACCCCCAGAUAUAGGCCCCUGCACUUGGGAUAUACAGGGGGUCCACCUGGAGGACCGUGCCUUGGCCAAGGCCCACUCACUCCCAAACUCUCCCUGCCCCCUCUGGUAACCCCGGUCAGGUCUAUCUGCCCUCAUCCAUCUCAGCACCAUGGAAGCCCCCAGCACCCGAGGGACUGUGACACAUCCUGCCAACAGCCCUUCUCAAAAUCUUGUGCCCCUCCCGCAAUGUGUGGCAGUCCCCUGAAUGCCUGGCUCUUCCUUCUAUGACACCAUGCCAUCUGCCUGCAGCCAACUCCAUGGAGAGACUGCAGGGAGCAGGUCUCCCAGAUCAGAUGUGACCAGAUCAGUCUACAGCUGUC